rnacentral:rRNA from 1 species
AGAGUUUGAUCCUGGCUCAGGAUGAACGCUAGCGACAGGCCUAACACAUGCAAGUCGAGGGGCAGCGGGGAGGUAGCAAUACCUUUGCCGGCGACCGGCGCACGGGUGAGUAACACGUAUGCAAUCCACCUGUAACAGGGGGAUAACCCGGAGAAAUCCGGACUAAUACCCCAUAAUAUGGGCGCUCCGCAUGGAGAGUCCAUUAAAGAGAGCAAUCUUGGUUACAGACGAGCAUGCGCUCCAUUAGCCAGUUGGCGGGGUAACGGCCCACCAAGGCGACGAUGGAUAGGGGUUCUGAGAGGAAGGUCCCCCACAUUGGAACUGAGACACGGUCCAAACUCCUACGGGAGGCAGCAGUGAGGAAUAUUGGUCAAUGGUCGGCAGACUGAACCAGCCAAGUCGCGUGAGGGAAGACGGCCCUACGGGUUGUAAACCUCUUUUGUCGGAGAGUAAAGUACGCUACGCGUAGCGUAUUGCAAGUAUCCGAAGAAAAAGCAUCGGCUAACUCCGUGCCAGCAGCCGCGGUAAUACGGAGGAUGCGAGCGUUAUCCGGAUUUAUUGGGUUUAAAGGGUGCGUAGGCGGCACGCCAAGUCAGCGGUGAAAUUUCCGGGCUCAACCCGGAGUGUGCCGUUGAAACUGGCGAGCUAGAGUACACAAGAGGCAGGCGGAAUGCGUGGUGUAGCGGUGAAAUGCAUAGAUAUCACGCAGAACCCCGAUUGCGAAGGCAGCCUGCCAAGCCAUGACUGACGCUGAUGCACGAAAGCGUGGGGAUCAAACAGGAUUAGAUACCCUGGUAGUCCACGCAGUAAACGAUGAUCACUAGCUGUUUGCGAUACACUGUAAGCGGCACAGCGAAAGCGUUAAGUGAUCCACCUGGGGAGUACGCCGGCAACGGUGAAACUCAAAGGAAUUGACGGGGGCCCGCACAAGCGGAGGAACAUGUGGUUUAA